UACGGGGGGGGCAAGCGUUGUUCGGAAUUACUGGGCGUAAAGGGCUCGUAGGCGGCCAACUAAGUCAGACGUGAAAUCCCUCAGCUUAACUGGGGAACUGCGUCUGAUACUGGAUGGCUUGAGUUCGGGAGAGGGAUGCGGAAUUCCAGGUGUAGCGGUGAAAUGCGUAGAUAUCUGGAGGAACACCGGUGGCGAAGGCGGCAUCCUGGACCAACAUUGACGCUGAGGAGCGAAAGCUAGGGGAGCAAACGGG
rnacentral:rRNA from 1 species